AAUACAUAUGAAUCUAAAUCUGCGUUGACCCCAGUCAAUCUCAUUCCUCUUUUCAGAGGUAUCCAGGUGUGUUAGUUUGCCAUGUGUAACAAAUUUCCACAAAUUUAGCAGCUUAAAACAGGAGCCAUUCGUUGUCUCAGUUCUGAAGGUCAGAAGUCCCGGGGGCCCAGCUGGUUCUCCUGCCCAGGGCUUCACACGGCUGCGUCAAAGUAUCCACCAGAGUCAAGCUUCUCACCUGAGGGGCCGGGGCCCUCUUCCAACCUGGGUGGCUCUCGGCAGAAUUAAUUUCCUUCUCAUGCCCUCUGUGUGGUUUCCUCCAUCUUCAAGCCAGCAAGUCCCCUGUCUUUCUCCUGCUUUGAAUUUUCUCGCACUGCCACCUCUCUCGACUUCCUCUUCCUCAGCAGGACAAACUCUGCUUUUGAAGGGCUCGUGUGAUUCCAUUGGGCCCACGUGGAUGAUUCAAGAUUGGCUCUGAGCUAAUGUCUGUGCCAGUCUUCCUUUAUUUGGUAUGUGGGAUGCUGCCACAGCAUGACUUGAUGAGUGGUGUAGGUCUGCACCCGGGAUCUGAACCUGGAAACAUGGGGCCACUGAAGCCAAACCCAGGAACUUAACCCCUACACCACUGGGCUGGCCCCCUGUAGCUAACUUUUAUGAAUUACCUGUGCACUGUUAGAUUGUUUAUUUGGGACCAGUCCCUAGGGUGGGCUGCCUGCCCUGGAUCAGCUGGAUUAAAUUGGUGUAGCAGUGGUUGUGGCAGACGGGGCUAACAGGCCAGGGGAAGAACUCCACUGACGUCUGCCAGUGUCUGUGUCAACACAUCUUUACUAGGUCACAACAAUGGCUGCUGCCAAUGUCCCAGUCCCCAGAGAGGUCUCACCUCUCAUGCAGAUGCACCCAGAGCCUAUCAGUUGUCAUCCGGAGGAUGCAGUCUCCAAUUAGACCAGUUAAUAGAAUGAGAAGUAUUGGUGGGGAAAGAAGAAUAGUUUACUUGUUUUCUUAAAAUCACCUCCCAAUAUUAAAGUCAUGGCGACACACGAAAUGUCUGAAAGAGCCACAAAGCAUACAGUGGAAGGACCCAAAUAAUCUAAUUACAUAAAUCGUAUGCUGGGAUCAUCUCAAUGACUACAUACAUAUCAGAGGGUCAUUGGCCAUGCAUUUUUAGUUGCAGCAGAAGAGCACUAUAAACACAGGGAUUCCGGGCUCUGCUUGUGGUGGUUCUUAUUCACGCAGACACUCAGCUAUCUCAAGCACUGUGAUCAGAACACCGCACUCAACUGUGCUGACCACUCGCUGAUGCUGGAGCUGCCCAUCAACAGGGCCAGAAGUCUGCAGGAAGAGGGAAGCAGGGCCAGAGCACAGGUGUCCAUGCCACCUUGGACGUCCUCUUAGUACUGGAGCCACAGUGCCAGUGGGGACAGGGAUGUCACCUCAAGCUUUAAUGCACACCCACCAUGAAAUCGUUCUUUGGCACCUUGCUGAACUGGUUCUCCUUGGGAUUAGCUCUAACCCAGGGAAGGAGGAACACUAUGGAAAGGGUGCAGAUGGAGCAAAAGCCUCGUCUUCUUUUCAAAGAGCUUCAGAUAUUUCAUUGCCACAUCAAGCAAGUGUUUAGUGUGUUACUUGUCCUGGAAACUCUAAAUCCCUCUAGUUGGAAAAGUACUACCUAGAAAA
ensembl:lncRNA